UGCUCAUCCAUACGAAGUGAUUAGUUUCUCCAGGGCACUAGGAGACCACUUGGUAAAUUACUUUAACCAAGCACUCUAAAUGGUCCCCUAGUGCUCUGGGAAAGUUAAUCUCAUUCACCUUCCAUGGAAGAGCAGAUUA
ensembl:miRNA